rnacentral:tRNA from 1 species
GAUCCCAUAGCUCAGUUGGUUAGAGCACCGCUCUUAUAAGGCGGGGGUCCUGGGUUCAAAUCCCAGUGGGAUCA